AAAACUUUAGUUCUUAGAAAGGAUUUAUUUCUUUUUUCUCUCAAUAGCAUAUUGAGGAAGAAUAUGCAUUUUCACGGUUUGUAUCCAAAGACUAGUUUGUAUCCAAUUGAAAUUGCAUAAAAAAACAAAUUGAAUUUGGAUUAUGAGUACAGAGUCGUGAAGCAUAAUUUUGCAUUAGAUUAAGGAUUCCAAUUUUUAAAAUAUGAGUAAAGGAUCUA
rnacentral:lncRNA from 1 species